rnacentral:rRNA from 1 species
CGCCAGACUCCUACGGGAGGCAGCAGUGAGGAAUAUUGGUCAAUGGUCGGGAGACUGAACCAGCCAAGCCGCGUGAGGGAUGAAGGUACAGAGUAUCGUAAACCUCUUUUGUCAGGGAACAAAGGCGGGGACGCGUCCCCGGAUGAGUGUACCUGAAGAAAAAGCAUCGGCUAACUCCGUGCCAGCAGCCGCGGUAAUACGGAGGAUGCGAGCGUUAUCCGGAUUUAUUGGGUUUAAAGGGAGCGUAGACGGCGAGGUAAGCCUGAAGUGGAAGCCCGCGGCCCAACCGCGGAACUGCUUUGGGAACUGUUUUGCUGGAGUAUGGGAGGGGUAAGCGGAAUUCCUGGUGUAGCGGUGAAAUGCGUAGAUAUCAGGAGGAACACCGGUGGCGAAGGCGGCUUACUGGACCAUAACUGACGUUGAGGCUCGAAAGCGUGGGGAGCGAACAGGAUUAGAUACCCUUGUACG